GCUGGCAUAAUGGUUAAGUGCUAGGCUGCUAACCAAAAAGUUGGUGGUUCAAAUCCACCCAGCC
rfam:Loxodonta africana unplaced genomic scaffold scaffold_309, whole genome shotgun sequence.